rnacentral:lncRNA from 1 species
AGAGACCAAUGCUAACAAAAACAACCAUUUCCUAACCACAAACAACAAUACGGAAAACAAAAACAACCAUUUCCCAACGACAAUGAAGAAAACCCCAAAAAAAAAUAGCCGAUCAUAGAAUGGAACCAUACCGUGCCGACUGUUGCAAAGAAAUGAUUCGAUCACAACGGUUAGAGGAGGGUCGCGCGGUGAACGUCGUCUGGAAAAGGUCGCGCAGUGAACGUCGCCUGGAAAAGGAUUUUUCCAAUCGCCGGGACCGAGGGUUUUGGUGGGUUUAGGAGGGAGCACGAAAAUGAAUUUUUUUUUUGAAUGGAAUUGAUGUGCGACGUGGCAGAAGAAGCUUCAGUGUACGGUAGUACCAUGGUACUAUUGAGCUACUACUAGGUACCAGGUACCUAUUUAAUAUUUUUUAAUUUUUUCCCAACAGGUUGCAUGCAACCGGGAACUUCUUCAGCAGGUGGGGAUGCCAAAAAAAGGAUGGUCCAGAUUCGUCCUAAGAACGGACUGCCGAGAUGAGGAAGGGUUCUCAUAAGAACCCUUCUUAACUGAUAUACACCGUAAUAAUUUAAUACUAAAGAAUAUUUUUAUAACAAAUAACAAUAGUAAUACAUAAUUACAUAAAUAGUCCUAAGACUUAUACUAUAUUAUAAAUUGGUCCAGAUAUUAUAGUUUGACAUUAUGAACAUAGGUCCGUAUUGGACCGUACUUAGUGUAGUCUUUCUAGGAAGUGUGCCCUUAAUAUUAUGAUUUAAUCCUUUUUGUCCCCACGUAUUGCAUAAACUGUUUGUGCAGCAGUGAAGGCAGUAACAAUGACGAAGCCUAAAAAAGCAAAUAUUACCACUGUGCUUACGAAGUACUCCUUCCUUAGUUUGGCUUUACGUUUGCGGUGACCAGAACUGCAGAACUUCUCAAGUGAUCUGAAUUGAGAACCGAUAUUUUUCUGAUUUAAUUUUGUAAGCACCAACCACGGUCUUUGCUUACGAAAGAAACUGGUUAUUUCCUUGUCUUCUAUUAAACUCGAUGUUGAUUUCAGAACCCCGUGCUUUCUCAGGAAAAUUACGUCCGACUCCGUCUUCACCAUAUUUCUCAUGUACACUGCGUAGGUGGAAAUGUACAGUGCAUCAUUCUCUUCAUUUUCUGGCAAUCUAGGUAAAAAAUAUAUCUGUUCGUAAAACAACAAAUUCUCAAAUUCCGAGAAGCUAUUGUCAUUUAUCUCCAUCAAUCCGGCAUGCAUCUUAUUAGGUUUAAAAAACAUCUUGUAUGUGACUGUAGGGCCGAUACCUAACCAAUUUAUCCCGGAAUAAGCGAUUUCUGUUACUGUCGGGGUUUGUGUGAGACCAUGUAUCAGAGGACAAUUCGUUUUUACAGAUUUUGCUGUGUACUUAGUUUCUGCUUCCACCCAAAUGAUAACAAGAUAGAAAAUUCCGACAAACAAAAAAGAAAUCCCUUCCCAUAGAUAGUAUAAUAUACCACUUUCCUUGAGUAUUAUUAUUAUUAUCAACGAAGGUGUUGAUAGUAACAAUAUUUUUUUCCAGAGAAAAUCUUUGUCCACUUUCUCAUGAUAUCUGUAGGUGAAAAAGAUGGGGAGAAGCAACGUCGCUACCAAGAUGUAUAGUAAACGAUACAACCAUGGCUUCAUUCGUGAAGGAGCAUUUUUUAACUGAACCCGAUUCAACCGACACAUGUAGAGCAAAUGGAGAAGAUGGUCCAUAUUUUCAAUUUCUUCAUAUACACCGUCGAUACUCUUCUCUCCAUUGUGCAAGUAAUUGAUUGCCAGAUCGAAGAGAUUGAACCUUUGAUCUGGUUCCACCAAAUCUGUAUUUUGAUAUAUGAGUUUGAGAACAGGAAAAGGUAUCUGAUUCUCGAUAAGCAUCAAAUCAUGAUUAAGCUUAUGGAUAUCAAUUCCAGGAAAAGUCAACGACCCAUCAUUAUGUUUCAAUAAUAACUCCACAAGAAAACAACCAUCGAGCAGCAAUAUACCCAGAAAGAUAUCAUCAGAGAUUCCACAAACACCGAAAUCACAAUACUUAUUUUUUUCAGAAGAUAAGUCCACAUUUUUUACUACAUCCAUGUACCUUUCUAUGGUGUUGCUCUUGUUCCGAGCGAGUAGAUCAUUGAGGUAUUGCAACUUGACCUUUUGCAUCGAACGAAGCUCUUCUUUCCCGUAGUGGUAUGGUCCGAUGGAAAUGUAUUUGGGCGCGUAUUCCCGAUCAACGUUGCCAUUAGCUUCAACCAGCUCGGUAGGAAUUCUACAUAUGUUUACAUUUGGGUUUGGCCGUAGUAGGCUGGCCCAAUCGGUUGUAUCCGAAACAUUGAUUCUCAGCUCCAUUGCCAUGGCUCUUGUAUCUAUUGUGAACUGAAUUUGGAUGGUUGGAAUCGCUAUUGUCGCCUUACAUAUAUAUACCAUCCAAGUAUCCAACCUCACUACAUAAAGAGUGGUUAUGAUUUACAGCCAUUUUAAUUGACUUUGAAUAUUGAUUGUGAUUUACAAUCAUUUUAAUUGACUAAACCAAGUUUGCAGAUUGAAAUUGUUUUUUUUUAAGUAUUGAAAUUGACUUGGUCCAAAAAGUCAUGUUAGCAGUAGGAGUGAGAAUGAGACGGGUCACCUCGGUGCCCCGAUGGUAACCAACUUCGAGGCAGAUAUUCUGCUCCGUUUUCAUUUUUUCGCCACGUUGCCCCUGUCAUAUUCUGGGUCAGGUAUCGGCGUAGGGUGAAAUCCAGGCGGAUUGCCCCAAUUUUAAUAAAAAUAUAUAUUUUUUUAAUAUGAUUUAUUAUAUUAUAUUAGAUAUAGAUUAUUAAGAUUAUAAAUUUAUUAGAUUUUUAAGCUUAUUUUUUAUGUUUAUUUUAGAUUUACUCUUUAAUUUUUAAAAAUUAAGGUAAAAUGUUUACCAAUUUUACAUUUUAGGCUAACUAUUUUCUUUAUAUAUAUAUAUAUUUUUUUUUUAUAAUUUGUAUUUUAUAAUUUUAUAUUUUUUUAAUUCGGACCCGUUGGGUCGAUGCCGGGUUCAGAGUAUGGGUCAAUGAGUGUGACCCGCCUCGUUCCGCGCCCAGGUCAGGUCCCGGUCUACCUGAUCGGGGCGGGACUGCCCGGUGAUUUAGGUUGAUAAAAUAAUGUUGGAUUUAGGUAUCAUCUAAUAUAUUCUAAUAAAUUUUUUAUACUAAUUUUUAAAAGUAAAAACAAAAAGUAAAUCUAAAAUGGACAUAAAGUUUAAAAACUAAGACUUAAGCUUAAAAAUGUAAUAAAUUUUUAAUCUUUUUAAUCCUAUAUCUAAUAUAAUAUAAUUUAAUUUAUUAAAAAAAAUUUAAAAUUAUUAUUUUUAAAACCGAGGUGACCCGUCCAGAUUUUGCCCUGCCCUAAGACCCAUCCCGGAAAAUGACUGGAGCAACGAGGCAAAAAUAAAAAACAGGACCCGGUUACAACCGGGAGAGGACCCGUUCUCACCCUACUCAUGACAUAUUUUAUUUAAGAUACCUUUUAUCUCACCGUUAAUACACAUCUAUCUGCUUUAAAAAAAUACACAUUUAUCGGUUGUUCGUUUUUCUAUUUUGAGGUAGUUAAGACUCUAAAUGCUUUCGAAUUUGAAUAUGUUUAUUCGAAUUUUCGAAUUUCGGAUGCGGAUUUGUAUACCAAAAAUGAUAUUCGAAAAUUAUCCGAACAGAUUCAGAUAUCUGCAAUAUCCACCGUUAAAAUCUGAAUUCAGUUGAUAAUUUCGAAUGCGGAUAUCUGCAAUAUCCGAUCGUUAAAAUUCAAAUUCAUUUAAUAAUUCCGGAUUCGAAUUUUCUUAUCCAGAUAUUAUUCCAUAAACGAAUUCGGAUAUCCGAGCCGAAUCAGUCGAUACACAGAUCUAAUUAUGACAAAUUACGUUUAGUGAAUUUGAUUAAUCAAAGAGGAAUUAAUGGAAUUUUUAUGGUAUAAGUGCAAUUUUUACUCUUCGUCAAGAACAAACGAGAUUAAAAAAAAUUCCAACAUAUAUUUUUAAAAUUAAAAUUUUACACAAAAAAACCUUGUAAAAAAAUUAAUAGAAAAAAAAAUGAUAGAAAAAAACAUUCAAAAUUGUUUAGAAGAAUAAUCUUAUUAACUUAUUCUGUUUUUCGAUUUUUGAUCUUAACAUUUUUCCUUUCAAAGACCUCUUUAAGAAUUCCCUUACUUUUCAUUAUCAAAUACAAUUAAUUAUAAUGGGAAAUAUUCAGGUGGGUCAUCUAUCUCGGUCGUGUGCCAAAAAAAUCUUCAACACACUCGUCAUCCAUCGAUUUCAAUUACGUUAUGCAUAUAAAACUAACUUGCAUGACAUUGGGUGAGGAUCUCGAAACCAUCUGAUAUCACUUGUAGUACAUCACUUGUGUUUUACUUUAAUUAUAAAAACGGA